rnacentral:rRNA from 1 species
GAUCCUGGCUCAGAUUGAACGCUGGCGGCAGGCUUAACACAUGCAAGUCGAACGGUAACAUAAAGAAGCUUGCUUCUUUGAUGACGAGUGGCGGACGGGUGAGUAAUGCUUGGGAAUCUAGCUUAUGGAGGGGGGUAACUACGGGAAACUGUAGCUAAUACCGCGUAAUAUCGAGAGAUUAAAGUGUGGGACCUUCGGGCCACAUGCCAUAAGAUGAGCCCAAGUGGGAUUAGGUAGUUGGUGAGGG